rnacentral:rRNA from 1 species
AUUGAACGCUGGCGGCAUGCCUUACACAUGCAAGUCGAACGGUAACGGGCCUUCGGGCGCCGACGAGUGGCGAACGGGUGAGUAAUACAUCGGAACGUGCCCGAUCGUGGGGGAUAACGAGGCGAAAGCUUUGCUAAUACCGCAUACGAUCUACGGAUGAAAGCAGGGGACCGCAAGGCCUUGCGCGGACGGAGCGGCCGAUGGCAGAUUAGGUAGUUGGUGGGAUAAAAGCUUACCAAGCCGACGAUCUGUAGCUGGUCUGAGAGGAUGAUCAGCCACAUUGGGACUGAGACACGGCCCAGACUCCUACGGGAGGCAGCAGUGGGGAAUUUUGGACAAUGGGCGCAAGCCUGAUCCAGCCAUGCCGCGUGCAGGAUGAAGGCCUUCGGGUUGUAAACUGCUUUUGUACGGAACGAAAAGCCUUCUUUUAAUACAGGAGGGUCAUGACGGUACCGUAAGAAUAAGCACCGGCUAACUACGUG